rnacentral:rRNA from 1 species
GCCUGAUGCAGCGACGCCGCGUGAGGGAUGACGGCCUUCGGGUUGUAAACCUCUUUCGCCAGGGACGAAGCGCAAGUGACGGUACCUGGAUAAGAAGCACCGGCUAACUACGUGCCAGCAGCCGCGGUAAUACGUAGGGUGCGAGCGUUGUCCGGAAUUAUUGGGCGUAAAGAGCUCGUAGGCGGUUUGUCGCGUCGGCCGUGAAAUCUCCACGCUUAACGUGGAGCGUGCGGUCGAUACGGGCAGACUUGAGUUCGGUAGGGGAGACUGGAAUUCCUGGUGUAGCGGUGAAAUGCGCAGAUAUCAGGAGGAACACCGGUGGCGAAGGCGGGUCUCUGGGCCGAUACUGACGCUGAGGAGCGAAAGCGUGGGGAGCGAACAGGAUUAGAUACCCUGGUAGUCCACGCUGUAAACGUUGGGCGCUAGGUGUGGGCGACAUCCACGUUGUCCGUGCCGUAGCUAACGCAUUAAGCGCCCCGCCUGGGGAGUACGGCCGCAAGGCUAAAACUCAAAGGAAUUGACGGGGGCCCGCACAAGCGGCGGAGCAUGUGGAUUAAUUCGAUGCAACGCGAAGAACCUUACCUGGGCUUGACAUGCGCCAGACAUCCCCAGAGAUGGGGCUUCCCUUGUGGUUGGUG